CAGCCGCCGCGGUAAAACGUAGGGUGCAAGCGUUAAUCGGAAUUACUGGGCGUAAAGCGUGCGCAGGCGGUUAUAUAAGACAGAUGUGAAAUCCCCGGGCUCAACCUGGGAACUGCAUUUGUGACUGUAUAGCUAGAGUACGGCAGAGGGGGAUGGAAUUCCGCGUGUAGCAGUGAAAUGCGUAGAUAUGCGGAGGAACACCGAUGGCGAAGGCAAUCCCCUGGGCCUGUACUGACGCUCAUGCACGAAAGCGUGGGGAGCAAACAGGAUUAGAUACCCGUGUAGUCCCUGUCUCUUAUAA
rnacentral:rRNA from 1 species